CUCCUUAGCUGACACAUCUGGUCCCUUACACGCCUACCUGCCUCAGGUGUUUCAUGGUAGAUUCAUCACACUCUUACCUGCCCCAGCUGCACCAUACCAACUAGGUCUAAUCCCUUAAAACCACCCACACCUGACCAAGACUCUUCAUAGCUGCUAGGUCUGGUCCCCCCCAUUCCUACCACUCCCAACUCCCCCAUAGCUGCUAGGUCUGGUCCCCACAUUCCUACCAUCCCCAGCUCCCCCAUAACUGCUAGAUCUGGUCCCCCACAUUCCUACCACCCCCAGUUUCCCCAUAGCUGCUAGGUCUGGUCCCCCACAUUCCUACUAUCCCCAGCUCCCCCAUAGCUGCUAGGUCUGGUCCCCACAUUCCUACCAUCCCCAGUUCCCUCCUAGCUGCUAGGACUGGUUCCCCACAUUCCUACCAUCCCCAGUUCCCUCCUAGUUGCUAGGACUGGUUCCCCACAUUCCUACCAUCCCCAGUUCCCCCAUAGCUGCUGGAUCUGGUCCCCCACAUUCCUACCACCCCCAGCUCCCCCAUAGCUGCUAGGUCUGGUCCCCACAUUCUUACCAUCCCCAGUUCCCUCCUAGUUGCUAGGACUGGUUCCCCACAUUCCUACCAUCCCCAGCUUCCCCCUAGCUGCUAGGUCUGGUACCCCACAUUCCUAUCAUCCCCAGUUCCCUCCUAGUUGCUAGGACUGGUUCCCCACAUUCCUACCAUCCCCAGUUCCCCCAUAGCUGCUGGAUCUGGUCCCCCACAUUCCUACCACCCCCAGCUCUCCCAUAGCUGCUAGGUCUGGUACCCCACAUUCCUACCAUCCCCAGUUCUCUCCUAGCUGCUAGGUCUGGUCCCCCAUAUUUCUACCAUCCCCAGUUCCCCCAUAGCUGCUGGAUCUGGUCCCCCACAUUCCUACCACCCCCAGCUCCCCCAUAGCUUCUAGGUCUGGUCCCCAUAUUCCUACCAUCCCCAGCUCCCCCAGAGCUGCUAGGUCUGGUACCCCACAUUCCUAUCAUCCCCAGUUCUCUCCUAGCUGCUGGGUCUGAUCCCCACAUUCCUACCAUCCCCAGUUCCCUCCUAGCUGCUAGGACUGGUUCCCCACAUUCCUACCAUCCCCAGUUCCCUCCUAGCUUCUAGGACUGGUUCCCCACAUUCCUACUAUCCCCAGUUCCCUCCUAGCUCCUGGGUUUGGUCCCCCACAUUCCUACCAUCCCCAGCUCCCCCAUAGCUGCUGGGUCUGGUCCCCCACAUUCCUACCA